rfam:Paramecium tetraurelia chromosome undetermined scaffold_110, whole genome shotgun sequence.
AGGCAAAUGGCGUAGAUGGUUAUCGCGCUGCAUUUACACUGCAGAGGUCCCGAGAUCGAUACUCGGUUUGCCUA